rnacentral:rRNA from 1 species
CCUACGGGAGGCAGCAGUAGGGAAUCUUCCACAAUGGACGCAAGUCUGAUGGAGCAACGCCGCGUGAGUGAAGAAGAUCUUCGGAUCGUAAAACUCUGUUGUUAGAGAAGAACACGAGUGAGAGUAACUGUUCAUUCGAUGACGGUAUCUAACCAGCAAGUCACGGCUAACUACGUGCCAGCAGCCGCGGUAAUACGUAGGUGGC